GGUCCCAUAACUCAGUUGGUUAGAGUGUCGUACUAAUACUAUAACACCCUUAUAACAUUGGUCAUGCGAAAGUCGUGAGUUCGACCCUCACUGGGACCA